AAUUUGCAACAAAAAAUCAGAAAUUGCCCCACCAUGUAAUUUGUUUUUUGUUUGAUUACGGAAGUAAGGCUUCAUUAAUUUUACUAAAUGGUUGUUUGUUUAUGUGAAUCUUCUUAGUAAUUGACUAAUUGAUGAUAGUUACACUAUUUUUUUUUUUUUUUUAAACAUCAAGUGGUAGUUAAACUUUGCCAAACAGGUGCACUACGCCAGUGGUGAUGGGACUCACCAUUUUGAGGGUGUGAACAACAAUUUCACCCUACAUAAAGCACCCCUUCUUGCUUGUUUACUAUAAACUCAACCUGUCCAGUCUAAUAGUUGUUGAUAAAUGUGUGUUUGACUCUUGUCUUCUUCCCAUAAUUUCUGCAGUCCUAUACUUAUGUUCAUCUACAAUUUAUUUUUAGGUUGAGACUGAAGAGCAACUGCAGUUAUCUGAGGCUUAUGCAAUUUCUGCAGUCCCAUACUUUGUCUUCUUCAAGGUUAGUAUAACAGAUAACCGGUGUUCAGCUUAUUGGACACCAUCUUAAACUUUGAAAUGACAUUUUCUUCUAAUCACUAUAUAUUGAUGCAUAUCUAUUAAAUCUUGAAGUAGUAUUGCUUUGUAAUGUAAUGGUGUUUCCUUUUGAUUGGUAAGACUUAAGACUGUGACCAGUUGCCUAGAGAAGUGCCAUAGAGAAUCUGCAAGUCAAUGGUCUUAAAACAUUACAGUAUUUGACCUGUAUCACAUAAGCCAAGAGACAAAGAUUGAGACAUUUUAAAUAAUUUCUUCAAUCAAAUUGGAUAGUCAGCAGAUUAAAAAUUUAUGAUUAGUCUUCUUCCUCCAUUUAAGGGGAGUGUUGUCUUGAAUUUGUAUUUUUUUUUUUAAAAACUGACUUAUGUAUUUUUUUUGGUAUGUUUCUCGUUAUGCGCAACGGUGGUUUGAACUAUGUGUUGGGGAUAAUUUCUCUAAUUGUUUGUUGUUGUGACAUUUACAGGUAAUUCAUUCUUUUGUUGGUUUGAUCUAUUCAACAUAUUUUUGUUUGUAUUUUUAUAACGCAUGUAUCAUUUUAUUGUUGUAGUUUCCUGUGCUCCGUGGUUCGUGUCGAUUGAAAGAUUGGGUGUCGGGUUGUUAUUGCUGCGCUUAAGA
rnacentral:lncRNA from 1 species